UGAGCAAUCUGCCCUUCUCUUCGGAAUAAGCGUUGGAAACGACGUCUAAUGCCGAAUACGACCUCCUUUCGCAUGAUCGGAGGUGGAAAGCUCCGGCGGAGAAGGAUGAGCUCGCGGCCUAUCAGCUAGUUGGUGUGGGUAAUGGCCCACCAAGGCGACGACGGGUAGCCGGCCUGAGAGGGCGACCGGCCACACUGGGACUGAGACACGGCCCAGACCUCCGUACGGGAGNAGCG
rnacentral:rRNA from 1 species